rnacentral:rRNA from 1 species
UACGUAGGGUGCAAGCGUUAUCCGGAAUUAUUGGGCGUAAAGAGCGUGUAGGCGGUUUGGUAGGUCCGCUGUGAAAACUCGAGGCUCAACCUCGAGACGCCGGUGGAAACCAUCAGGCUAGAGUCCGGAAGAGGAGAGUGGAAUUCCUGGUGUAGCGGUGAAAUGCGCAGAUAUCAGGAAGAACACCCGUGGCUAAGGCGGCUCUCUAGUACGGUACUGACGCUGAGACGCGAAAGCGUGGGGAGCGAACAGG